CACUUGUCAGGCGGGUAUUUUGUUGUGUGUCUCAUCCGAGUGUGAAGAUAUAAUCUGCGGUACGAACCAGCAGAAGUUCUUCGGAAGACCCAGCACGUGCAAGGUGAAGUGUCCAGGUCCUUUACAGGUUAACACUACAUGUGCCGAGGAUGACAAAAAGUAUGAACGGGUCUGUUACUGUAAGGAUGGACUGGUCGAAAAACAGAAUUAUGAGUGUAUACCAGAAGGAUCAUGUCCGUGUUACACCUGUGAACAGUGGUUCGAACAUGGGACUGCAAAAAUUGACGACUGCAUUAAAAAAGAAUGUAAAAAUGGUUCCUGGAUAAGUGAAGAAGAUGAAGAUUGUAAAA